rnacentral:rRNA from 1 species
UCGGGGUGAGCGGCGGANGGGUUAGUAACGCGUGGGAAUAUACCCUUUGGUACGGAAUAGCCUCUGGAAACGGAGAGUAAUACCGUAUGAGCCCUUCGGGGGAAAGAUUUAUCGCCAAAGGAUUAGCCCGCGUUAGAUUAGGUAGUUGGUGGGGUAAUGGCCUACCAAGCCUACGAUCUAUAGCUGGUUUUAGAGGAUGAUCAGCAACACUGGGACUGAGACACGGCCCAGACUCNNNCGGGAGGCAGCAGUGGGGAAUCUUGGACAAUGGGCGCAAGCCUGAUCCAGCCAUGCCGCGUGAGUGAUGAAGGCCUUAGGGUCGUAAAGCUCUUUCGCCUGUGAAGAUAAUGACGGUAGCAGGUAAAGAAACCCCGGCUAACUCCGUGCCAGCAGCCGCGGUAAUACGGAGGGGGUUAGCGUUGUUCGGAAUUACUGGGCGUAAAGCGCACGUAGGCGGACUGGAAAGUAUGGGGUGAAAUCCCAGGGCUCAACCCUGGAACUGCCUCAUAAACUCCCAGUCUUGAGUUCGAGAGAGGUGAGUGGAAUUCCGAGUGUAGAGGUGAAAUUCGUAGAUAUUCGGAGGAACACCAGUGGCGAAGGCGGCUCACUGGCUCGAUACUGACGCUGAGGUGCGAAAGUGUGGNGAGCAAACAGGAUUAGAUACCCUGGUAGUCCACACCGUAAACGAUGAAUGCCAGUCGUCGGGUAGCAUGCUAUUCGGUGACACACCUAACGGNNUAAGCAUUCCGCCUGGGGAGUACGGUCGCAAGAUUAAAACUCAAAGGAAUUGACGGGGGCCCGCACAAGCGGNGGAGCAUGUGGNUUAAUUCGAAGCAACGCGCAGAACCUUACC